UGGGGGAUAUUGCUCAAUGGGGGAAACCCUGAAGCAGCAACGCCGCGUGAAGGAAGAAGGUCUUCGGAUUGUAAACUUUUGUCUUCUGGGAAGAUAAUGACGGUACCAGAGGAGGAAGCCACGGCUAACUACGUGCCAGCAGCCGCGGUAAUACGUAGGAGGCAAGCGUUGUCCGGAAUUACUGGGUGUAAAGGGUGCGUAGGCGGGUGCGCAAGUCAGAUGUGAAAUCCCGGGGCUUAACCCCGGAACUGCAUUUGAAACUGUGCGUCUUGAGUGGAGGAGAGGUAAGUGGAAUUCCAGGUGUAGUGGUGAAAUACGUAGAUAUCUGGAAGAACACCAGUUGCGAAGGCGGUCUCUUGGUCCGACACUGACGCUGAGGCGCGAAAGCGUGGGGAGCAAACA
rnacentral:rRNA from 1 species